GUGAUUCAAUGGCUAAAGAGUCCUUAUCUUGCUUACCUUUAAGCACUUAAGGAAUAACUUCACCUUCACCCUUACCUUUGUUGAUCAAUCGAAAUGGUCUCUCAUCAGGAAGUUAAUGAAUUUGAAACUUAUCAAUUGAAUCUCCAGAAACUUGAAAAGAAGAAAUAAUAUGAGGACAACUCAUAUGUAGGUUAGUAAAAACAUUCCUCC
rnacentral:lncRNA from 1 species